rnacentral:misc_RNA from 1 species
UUAAAGGACAGGAUAACAGGGUAUGGUGUUGUGCGCAACUGGUUAUCAAUUUGUAAUGUAGAGAUUUGAAAGGAAAGCCUUUGUUGGUCCACACUCUGAAUCAGAUUAAGAGUGAUAUCCUUUGCACAUGCAAAAAGCAAUUCCUGUGGAUGACCAUUAACCAAGGAGAUACCAAUGCAUGAAAUAGCUAGAGAAAAUUUCUCCUGAUAAUCAACGAAGUUUUGCUCUUG